UCAGUCCGUCGUGUUGCAGCUGCCGUCGGGUGCACUAGACAUCGUGCUGGCUCAAAUCGUUCGAAACAAGCCACCUCUGGAUAACUGGAGCGCG
rnacentral:rRNA from 1 species